CUCCCAGGCGCCACCAUUCCCCUGCAUGUGACACGUGCGUUGCCCUCAAAUUCAGUGGAAGGCUCACUCAGGACAGCUCACGGCUGCGUGUGACUGUGCUGUGACAACCAGGACGUGUGUGGGGCUCAGAGCUGCCUGUGGGGGCAUCGGGAGGUAGCCCAGCCAGACAGCUGGCACUGCUCAAAAUGCCAAAGACCAUGCUGCUACAAUGAGGAGAGGAGAAAGAAAGAAGGAUGAAGACCUCAUAAGUGUUAUCAAAAAAACGCCAAAAAGUUGGAAGAUUUGGGGAUUACGUCGUGUAAUUACAUUACCUUAAAAAAAAGUUUACUGAAAAUUUCCUGUUUUGUGUUGCCAGCUCUUUUCAGCCAUUAGUAACACAUAACUUCUCAUUGUCUUUUCCCGAGGCACAGAUGGGCUAAUUUUCAGCUACCUGAUAAUUACACAUUGUUUGAAACUGUAUCAAAAGCUUCUGUUUCUGCAUUUCUCCAGCAGCUGUUCUACAGCUCACAAAGUCGCUUGAUCACAGUUUUCAAGGGUCCACAUCUAUCCAUCUGUCUGGAGUUCCAGGAACGGAGCAGUGGUAAAGCCUCCACAUGCACAUUCAGGCUUUGCAGGUUGCUUUUACAGAUUUGCUCUGUUUUCAAAGUGGGUGGAGUGAAGCUCCACUGAAAGCAUCUUGUCAGCUCAAUGCCAGCAUCUAGGGUUAAUAUGGGAUAAUGCUACAUCAAAACAUGUCUAGCUAAAUACGCACGGGUAUGCUGAUGUUAUGGGGAAAUUAAGGGUAAAGGAACGUGAGGUGCUAGAAGUCAUCAUAACAAAGGUUUAAUCUUAAUUUCUUUUGGGCAAGCAGCUGUCCUUGUGCAAAGCUGUGGAUGUGGCCACACUACAGGACUGCCAAGUCAGAGAAAUGCAGCCCAUCAAGUGUACAGACAGGAAGGGUGAAGGCCCUUCCUCUAGAGUGACGGUUGAGGCUGGAGAAACCUCCUCCCCCUUGAUUCUUCCUCUUCAGGAACAAUUACUCUUGUGCUUGGCUGAAGGCUGGCCCCUAUCAGUACCCCUCUCAGGACUAGUGUUGGUAAAUGGAAACCUCGUCUACAUCAGGUUGCUUUUCCUUCAGCUCCUUCUUCCUCCUACCCAGUCCUUCACCUCCAAAACCAAGCAGGACACAGAGCUCGCCAGGGUCUUUUUUGUUAAGAAAAUUUUCCCUUCUCCCUUGACAAAGCCCUUGCAUUGGAUACAGCUAAGUUGGUUUCUAACCCUUUUUUUUAAAUCUGUAAGUGGCAUGUAUUCACACCCAAGCACCCGUCCUGAAAUGCAUGAGGUUUCCUGA
rnacentral:lncRNA from 1 species